GAGCCACAUUUGCAGCCUGCCUAGUGAGGUCCUGAGGCACGUGUUUGCCUUCCUCCCGGUGGAAGACCUCUAUUGGAACCUGAGUUUGGUGUGCCACUUGUGGAGGGAGAUCAUCAGUGACCCGCUGUUCAUUCCUUGGAAGAAGCUGUACCAUCGAUACCUGAUGAAUGAAGAGCAAGCUGUCAGCAAAGUGGACGGCAUCCUUUCUAACUGUGGCAUAGAAAAGGAGUCAGACCUGUGUGUGCUGAACCUCAUACGAUACACAGCCACCACUAAGUGCUCCUCGAGUGUGGAUCCCGAGAGGGUGCUGUGGAGUCUGAGGGACCACCCCCUCCUCCCCGAGGCUGAGGCGUGUGUGCGGCAACACCUCCCCGACCUCUACGCUGCUGCCGGGGUAGGUCUGGAGGCUGCGGGAGAAGGCGGCAUGUUAUUUCACUGGAGGAAAGUGUACUGGUGAUUCAGUUCAAUUGAGGAUGACUUUAUAUUUAUUUUUAAUGUCUGUAUUUAAUCUCUGAAUGCUUUGAAGCAUUCAUGUUGUCAUUGUCCCCAGUGGAGAAAUAAAAGGCCCUAUAAUUGUA
rnacentral:sRNA from 1 species